GAAUAGUUUAACCCUUUAUAAACCCUUAUAAGAUUUUUUCUUUCACUGAUAUAAGACUAUUUUACCUUCAAACCCUCACAAAAAACACGUCAUCUUUUUGUUUGAUGUGAUGGGCUUGUGAAAAUUAAUUUCAAGUCUCCACCACCUUCGUAGGCAAAUUAUUACAUAGGCCAAAAGUACUCUAGAUCUUGCAGGUUAUAUUUUGGAAAAUUAUAUCAUACAUAUAAUGUUUAAGUUAAAAUCGAUUUUCUUUAUGACCCAGAAACAUACAAAUGAUAACAAGCAAACCAAAGUCUUAACUCUUAAUACAAGCAAUUAAGUAGAAGGUUCAGAUUCUUUGACAAUUAUCUUCACUCAUCAAGGAUAUAUGGUAUUUGCUGGACAAGAUCUCCAAUUAUCCGAUUAAUUACAUUUACAGAAAUGCAAUUUGACAUUUGAUGAGUUUGCUAAUCAAGCACAUACUUAUAGUCAAGGCUUAUUUUAUCAACACCCCACAUAUAUUGUUGAAUGCACCCCACAACCUUAAUACACCCAACAUUUGCUUUUUUAAUUAAAAUUUAUCUUAAUACACCCCACCUACUUUUCCAUAAUACCAUCACACCCCACACCUCAACAUACAACCCACAUUUUCUACAUAUACCCCACACUCUGCAUAUCUAAAAAAAGAAAAAAAAUUUAGCCCUCCCCCUUCUCCAACAAGAACCAGCCACAAUUAUUCUUCUUCUACCACACCGCGCCAAAUGUUGAUUAAAGAGUAACAUUGCUUUGAUUAAAAACUUGAGGUCACAACAUUUAAAGGAAAGGCCAGUGCUUCAGUUCCUCCAUUUCUUUUUGUUUGGACUUCAACCCAGGAUAAGUAGGACAAUGUUGCGAAACCUAAAAGAUGUGUACGCAAAAGAAAGGGACAACCUUUCCAAGCUCUCCUCGAAAAUAUGUGGAAACCAAAUAUUCUUAAAACAAGACUUGCAAAUGAGGGCCUUUGUAUUGCUUCUCUGAGCCGAACAGCCAACUAAUAAGACUAAUUAAGGGGUUACUUGAUUUGGUAUGGAAGGUUGAUUUGAUUGAAGGAAUCAGGUUUAGAAAGAUGGAAACUGCCCAAGUAGGAAUAGGAAAAUGGGGACAAAAGUUGGGAUUAAUUGAUUGAAGAUCAAUUAUCAAUGUGAAGUUUAUUUGGUUUUGGAUUAAGAUUCUCUUAUGAAUAAUUUUUUCAGUCAACGUCUUUGUAGUUUUAUUGAUUAGAGUUUUGUUCUAAGUACAAUGGAGAGGGAACGGUUUUGAGAGUUGAAGAAAAUAAAUAAUAUUGGGAUGUGUUAUUUGGGGUGUAUUUAGAAUUAUUUUAAUUUUUUUUUAUAAUCUUAUGUGGGGUGUUUUCAACAUUAUGUUGGGAUCUAAUAAAAAAACCAUAGUCAAUCUUGUAUUUAGUUUUGUAAUUUUCGUCCGAAAUUUGUUCGUGGCUCUUAAUUGAUUUGUAUUGUACUAUGAUCCGUAUAGGAUCCAGUUUGUAAUGUUUAUAUUUAAAAAAAAAAUCACAACCAAACAUCAUAACAUCAAGAUAAAUGGGGAAAAAGAAGAAUUAGAUAGUAUGCAACAUUAGGGUUCCUCUUUGAUUAAGCCAGAAAAGAAGAUCAGUUUCAUCUUUGUCUGUGCUUAUUUAUCUUCAAUUAACUAAAGGAAGUCUCAAUGAAACAUUCAUGGUACUGUUCACUUUUAACGUUAAAGAUAUUUUUAGCCGGAAAAGUCACUUCUGAUAUUAUUCACUUACACAUUUAUUUUGUCGCUUUGAUUAAAACUAUUUUUUUUUUUUUAGAACUUUUCGUUAGUUUUCCUUAAAUGGAGAGUUCAACUGUGCUAUAUAUACUACAUGGUGCAGUGUUGCACGUUACCUACAAUUUAUAAAUUCUUCGUGCAGAGUUAGUAGAACUCAGAUUUAGAGAGAGGUCUGGGAACCCAUAUGCAUGGCUAUGUGAAAAAGAUAUGAUCUGUUACAUAAAACAAAAAUUUUGUUAUGAUAUUUUUUAGGUCAAGAAUGGCAUGUAAAGCAACAAAGUUUGGUUUACUACUUUAUUCACACUUCUUCCACACCUUUAUUUUAUGAAUUAUAGGUUACAAAUAAGGUGGUUAGUUUCUCUUAAUCGCAACAUCACCGCUUGAAAAGAUAACCCUAUCAACUUAUCAUAUUUAAUCAAAACCAUUAAUUUAAGAACACCUCACGAGUCACAUAGGCCAAUAAUCUUCGCACCAUAUGACAGUGACAAAGAAGAAGAAACAUAUAAAAAGAAAGUGAAAUAUUCCCACUUACGUACACAUAUAUGAUAUCUUUAUAUUUAUUCAACCAAAGGUAUAAUAAAUCUUGGGUUUUGAUGUAUAAGGUGGUGGCCAUUGUUUAACUUGGAUGCGUGCCGAUAUUAGAUGUCACGUAUAUGUAAUAUUCCUCUAAUUAUAUAUUUAGGAUGACAAUUACGAGAUGGGUGACGGGUCUUCCAUGCCACUACUUGUUUAUGUCACCUAGGCUAGUACAUAAACACAUGGUCACGGCCAACAAUCCCCACGCAACAAAUAAAGGCCAAAUAUUCAUUGCAAUUUUGAGUGGUCCGGGCCUUGAAUAAUUAUAAGGAAUAAUAGAUGACCAACGCAUAAAAUGAUGUGAUGCCCUCAAGGAGUUUAAAAAUCUUAGUCAAUUUGAAGAAUUAACGGUUAAUUUGGCUAACAAGUGGAGCUCGGGUUCCAAAUCUAAUUAUAUGGGGACACUUUCUAACGACCAAAUGUCUGAAAAUUAGUUGGUUGUUAAUGUGAGCAAGGAAGUAGAGCUAUUAAGAAAAAAGUCUUUUGCUCAUCGGUGGUAAUAAUCACUACCUUAUUUAUUAUUAUUGGAUAAGUUUAAAUUUUAAGAUUUGUGUCUGUCUACUACACAGAUUUUGAAAAUUUAAACUUAUCAAACAGUGAUAAAUAAAGUGGUGAGCAUUACCAUCACUUGAGAAUGGUGAGUAAACAUAUUCCCAUUAAGAAAUUUACCAAAAUCGAUGUAGACUUUGUGAGUUUGAGGCUUUGGGUUUAGUUAUACAUUGAAAUAGUUAGAAACUGUUACAUAUUGUAGGCCAGCUUUAUGAGGUCACUAUUCAAUAAUUAGUAAUAUCGUCCUAGGCCUGGACAUGUAAGCUCAUGCCCUUAAAACAAAGCCUGAGUUUUCAAAUGAGUGCUCUAAUUAAGGUGAGCUUGAAUCCUUUAGCAUGAGCCUCUUAGAGGUGGGAUUUGUGAAGAUUGAAGCAGUAGCUCCAAUGAAGAUAGUCGAAGAAACUGAGAUUUAGAGAGACAGAGAGACAGAGAGAUUUCAGAGAAGAUUUCUUUUGUAUUUCUUGUAUGUUUUUCAUCAUCAAUUACACCUUUAGCUAUCUGUAUUUAUAUUAUUACAUUCCUUGCUCUGUAAGCCAAGAUAUGAAGUAUAUCAGUUUUAACAACUUUAACAACCUUAGCACCAUAUCCUAACAACCUUGUAACUUCAUUUGGAUCUUGUGACACUUGUCCUCAUCUAGACCCUUGAAUUGCUUUCACUUGAAUUCUGCUCUUGAUGCUUGUUGUCCUUACUUAUACUCUUACAUCCCCCCUCAAUCUCAUGCGUGAGGGAACUGAGCAUGAGAUUGCCACAGUGAUGGUGAAACAAGGGUGCAGAUAAACC
rnacentral:lncRNA from 1 species